GAUGAACGCUAGCGGCAGGCUUAACACAUGCAAGUCGAGGGGUAUAGUUCUUCGGAACUAGAGACCGGCGCACGGGUGCGUAACGCGUAUGUAAUCUACCUUUUACAGGGGGAUAGCCCAGAGAAAUUUGGAUUAAUACCCCAUAGUAUGUUGUGGUGGCAUCACUAUUACAUUAAAGUUCCAACGGUAAAAGAUGAGCAUGCGUCCCAUUAGCUAGAUGGUAAGGUAACGGCUUACCAUGGCUACGAUGGGUAGGGGUCCUGAGAGGGAGAUCCCCGACACUGGUACUGAGACACGGACCAGACUCCUACGGGAGGCAGCAGUGAGGAAUAUUGGACAAUGGGCGCAAGCCUGAUCCAGCCAUGCCGCGUGCAGGAUGACGGUCCUAUGGAUUGUAAACUGCUUUUGUACAGGAAGAAACACUCCCUCGUGAGGGAGCUUGACGGUACUGUAAGAAUAAGGAUUGGCUAACUCCGUGCCAGCCGCCGCGGUAA
rnacentral:rRNA from 1 species